rnacentral:rRNA from 1 species
AGAAUCAACGCUGGCGGCGUGCCUAACACAUGCAAGUCGCACGAGAAAGUGGAGCAAUCCACGAGUAAAGUGGCGCACGGGUGAGUAACACGUGAAUGAUCUACCUCCGAGUGGGGAAUAACUGAGAGAAAUCUUAGCUAAUACCGCAUAACACUUACGAGUCAAAGCAGCAAUGCGCUUGGAGAGGAGUUCGCGGCCGAUUAGCUAGUUGGCGGGGUAAUGGCCCACCAAGGCGAUGAUCGGUAUCCGGCCUGAGAGGGCGCACGGACACACUGGAACUGAAACACGGUCCAGACUCCUACGGGAGGCAGCAGUGGGGAAUUUUGCGCAAUGGGGGAAACCCUGACGCAGCAACGCCGCGUGGAGGAUGAAGCCCCUUGGGGUGUAAACUCCUUUCGAUCGGGAAGAUGAUGACGGUACCGAUAUAAGAAGCCCCGGCUAACUUCGUGCCAGCAGCCGC